GGUCAGUGAUGAAUAGUAAAAGGUCUGACUGCCUGAAAAGUUCUCCCAUAUCCAGUUUCUCUCCCAGCAGCCUCUCUGUUUUCCCAUCGGGCUCCAGCUGUGCUUUGAUUGGCUACUUAUGCUGCUGACAGGUUUUGAUACUGAAUCCUGCAUUUCCAAAAGAAUAGGGAAAGUGCAGUAACAAGUAUUGUACAUGGUUAUGUAAUAAAGGAGAGCAAGGAUGGGGGUAGAAUUCUGUGCAGUGCAUGAUAACACAUUAUAAACUGAGACC
rnacentral:snoRNA from 1 species